rnacentral:lncRNA from 1 species
AGGCUAUCUAGUUCAUCGACUCGAACUCAUCAUCUCAAGGAUCUCCCACAUAACAGGUAUAUUACAGUAAUCACAUUUGAUACACACACAUUGGAGAUAGAGCGGAAGACUUUUACAAAGUACACUUUACAUUCCAGAACUCAAGUUUUACAUGGUAGAAUGAGAUGUAUUUAUUACAAGUCCUCAUAGUACUCGAAGUGCAUAACUUAUUACAAUAAUUGGAAGGGUGAAGCCUUUUCAUAAGAGAUAUAUAAAAACCUUCUAAGCUUCAAGUCCUCCACAUGAAGUAACUAAUCCAAAGAUAAGGGAAUAAAACUUCUCCUACAAAAACAACAAGGGAUAAAACCCUGAGUACGCAAUUACUCAGCAAGACUUACCCGACUAAAGAAAAGACUCUCAAGGGUAUGUUGGCUUUUGGGAAUCAAGGUAAAGCUCAUCAAAGUUCAAAGACUCAUUUUGCAGAAAAGCUUACUAAAAGUGGGUCCUUAAGCCAAGUUUUAUUUCACAAGUUAGUUUAUUACCUGAAUCUUCUAGCCUGAAUCUAGCAUUUUCCUAAUCUAGAUCAUUCACUUGACCUACACUAGGUUGCUUUUAAAAUCCAAAUUUUGUUUUGCUUGUUAUCUACGAUGAAGGGCAGCGAUCCAGUCUUCAUAUCCGAGAAGUAACGGCGAUCCGAAUCGAUUAAUACCCAGCUGGGGAUCUCCAACCACACGAUAUAUGUAGCACUUAACCCUUGCAUAUGUCAACCAUCCCCACGGAUCCUCCACUACAUGAACUGGUCCGCGCUACCCGGGAGCACAUUACCCUAACAUUCAGCUUCUUGCUAGGAGGGUAACUGCUACUCCCACCAUCUCCCACGCCCAGUGCGCGGUUGUCUUUUCACGUAUGGAAUAGCCGGGUUCAGGCUUACCCAUGACGAGGUAUGUGGCCAGUUAAAAGGUCCUAGAUCAUCAGGCCAACAAUCGGUACGGUCCUUAAUCGACACAGACGGACGACCUUUCCUGCUCAGCGUCUGGUCCCAUUUUAAACUAUUUCAAAAUUUUGGCGCCUGACAGAGGGGCCAUGCCAGGAUAAUGAAUUUAUCAACGUCUUGAUGCCUUCAUUAUCCCAAGCCCAUUUUCUUGUUUGUAAAAACAUGAGUCAUAGAUCAAAAACAUUUUUCUUAGUCUAUCAGCAUGACUAAGCAUCUCUAGCUUUUAUAAAACAGGUGACAAGGUAUGGUAAUCAAUCUUUCAAGGAUGGUAAUGCAUCAAGUGUUUAAUCAAUCAACUCCUAUUACCUAAUGCAACAUAUAAGUGAUAAAAUUUUGUAAACACAAGGGAGGUGGCAAAUGCACCGGGGCUUGCCUUAUUGUAGUGAAGAGGUUCUAGAUCUUCUACCCAAUAACCAGUUAGAUAGCUCCAUCCACUUGAUGAACAAGCACUGGAGCAAACUCCUCUUCCACAACCACUUCAUCUUUAAUUUACACUCCUUCUGCUGGGAGCUCUACAUGAAAUGAUAUGAACAUGAAUGCUUAUGCUUCUUGCAAAUAAAAUACUAUAAAACAUCACAAGACUAUACUUCCUCUCAAAGGUGUAACCAAACACAAAACAAAGGAUUUACUAGCACAAAGACUCUAAAUACUCUAAUAACAUAACCAAACUCUUCAACCAUGCAAGGGAACCAUGUCUCUAUAUCCAAGUAUUCCACCAAUACCUUAAGCAAGGAUCUAACUCUCUUACAUUGAACCCUACAAGCUAUGGCUAUCAAGAGACUAGAACACACAAAGCCCCAAAGUAAGGAGAAAAACACUGGACCAAAGUGACAGUAACUGAAGCUGGUCUGCAUUGCACAUGUCUGACAGAGCUAGUUAGGACACCAUAAACUUCCAAACUUAUAUAGUACCAAGCCAAGCUUCCACAAGUAAACUUGCUUACUAAUACUUGGUCUCCAAUUUUGCUACACAAAAUAUAUCUCCUAACUGCAUAGAACAACCCCAAGGAAACUCCAAUGUUGAGCCAACAUACUGAAAUGUCCAAUUUCAGAGGUCUGGAAUAGCCUAACAUCAACCUGGCAGCCUAACUUUGAGCAAGAUUUACACCUAGUUCUAUAUAGCUCUAAGGUCAAAUAGCUUAAUCAAGUUUGUGCUCCUAGAACAGAUAUACAAGGUUGCUAUAAUGAUCAACAACUAAAGACUCAUGGAUUCAAUGCUAUAAUGCUUCAAGUUGACACCAUUCAUUGCAACUAGUUUCAGUUAACUGAAACAAACACCCAUUAAGUCCGUCGGAAGGAUUUGUAACCUCAUUUACUCUAAUUUUCACAUAAGAACAAAUCCAACACUUUAUAUGAAACUUGUUCUCCUUCAAAUGGUCUUUGACUGUGCUAUAAGAUUCUUAGUCCAAAACCUUGUGGACUGAUCACAAAGUUGCUCCAAACUGGGCACUAAAUACUAAAAUUUCAGUUGGAGUUAACUGAAUUCAGUUUAGAGAAAAAUAAGCCUGACAGCACACCUUUAGGCACUAAUUAUUCCUAGCUCUAAGUAGUGUCAAGGGCAUAAUCCUCACCAAACUUUACUACCCUAACACUGGUCUUCAAGUUUUCUAUAGCAACUAUGGUCUAAAACUACUCAGAUUGGUCACAAACACUUCCAAACUGAGCACCCAACAUUGCAAUUUCAGGUUUCAGUUCUGAAUAAAAAUUGAGUCCAACAAACCUGACAGUCCAAGUUCUCGGUGGGUACAUGAAACUGCUUGGGGAAGACGUACGUUGGCUGGUCGACGAUGAAACUAAACACGGCGAUGAAUUGUGGUGGCACGACUACGUUCUGGCCACUGUGAGGUGAAGGGGCUGGUGGCCGAGGUCACUACACAGGAGGACGAUGUCGAGCAUCUGUCUUGAACAAAGCAACUGGGCGACAGGAGUGGCUGGAGAAGUUAACACAUGUAUAGAAGAAUGGUGAGGCACAGUGAGCAGGUCAUGGAAGCAACGGGAGCACCACAAGUUUCAGUUCUAGGCUUCAACUGUCAUGGCAAGCAAUGGGCUAUUUGUGGCUUUACUAGGACUUAUCGCAGGGGAAAACAAAACUAAUAUACUCCACCUCUGACCUCCCCACUGCAUGACCACCACGCAAGGGCAAGGCACAGUGGAACAGCAGUGGUGGCCAAAACUCCCAGGGACAACACACCACCAAGCAGACAGACAGCUAACACAUAGGAUAGAGUUCACAUCUUCAAUCCUAUCCUUGGGGUGAUAAGGCUGUGCCAAGUUACCUGUCCCCCCAGCACAUUUCUUUCUUAUCCUCAGUUUCCCCUAGAAGUACAUGGAGUCCGUAGUGGCCAGUGAUAUUUUCUUCAGAUAUUUUUACUCCACCCUGAACUGCUACUGCUCGACAGCCCAUCCAGAUUCUUCCCCUCUGUCCACUGCUCCACAACAGUACGAAUUUGGAUAUUUCCCGUGGGGAGAGCAGCCACUAGCACCUAGGCUAAGCACUUCCCCCUUAUCUUCAUUUAUUAAAACUACAAGUGAAAUCACAGGGAGACGAGAUUCUUCUUUAGUUUUCCCCAAUUCAGACUCUGGUUCACUGAAACAGCACUCAUUUCUCCAUUGCACCCUCCCUGUUCAGGCCCUCUGAUCUACCAAUUCUUCGCAGCAACAGACCACUCUCCCUUAACCAAAAUUAUUCUCUACUUGUAGCUCUACCUAUUUUAUAUAGCAACGCAUGACUAAAAACAUAUAGAACAAAAGUUAUGGUACCCCAAAGUACAGCCAAUGUCACUGAAAAAUCAGUUUCAAAAAUCUGAAACAGCACAAUACUGAGUCUGAUAGAGGGUUUUGCAGCAGGCUAUUCUCUAAAUUCCAUACAGAAGCAAGCCCACUCUUUGAACAAAACUUGUUCAUCUACAUCUGGUAUCUCAUUUUGCUACUGAUUUUUAACCCAAAUCUCUUUUGGAUUUAUUACCACAAGGCCCCAAAGUUGGGUAAAAACACACAUAUUCAGACUUAAAUAUUAUUCAAAGUCUGAAUCCCAACACCUGACAGUCCACCUUUUGACCACUUUUACUCCCAAAUUUAUGUGGAACCAGGUCAAUCUCACUUUAUCAAACUUGUUCACUUUACCAUGGUCUACAACUUUUCUAUGGAACCCAUAGUCUAAAUCUACAUGAAUCAGUCACAAAUGGGCUCCAAACUCAGCAUAUUUCACUGCAAUUCAGUUUUCAAUAACUGAAUAUAAUUCAGUUUCAGCCACAACACAGUCCCACUUUAAGCAGUUGUUACUCCAAUUCUUGUAUGGGAUCAUGUCCAUCACCCUUUAAGGAAGUUGUUCCCCAAUAUAUGGUAUUUAAUUCCUCUACAAGCACCACAGUCUAAAAUCUUAUAGAACAGCCAUAAACCAACUCCAAAGCUGCACUAAAAAUGCUGAUUUCAGACUUUCAGUUCUGAAUAAACUAAGUCAACAACAAUCUGAUAAUCCAACUUUGGCAAAGUUUUUCUCCACUUUUUGUAUAGGAUCCUUCCAAAAACACUUAAAGAAAGUUGUUCACCAUGAUCUGGUCUUCACUUCCUCUAUAUAAACCACAAUCCAAAACCUUAUAGAACAGACACCAAUAGGCUCCAAAACAGCACUCACAACACUAAAUUCCAGGUUCAGACUACUGUUUUAAGUCUGAAAACUGGGAAAUCUGUCAAUCAAUAUUUGGGCUAUCUUUUCUACCAGUAGCAUGUAGUUUUGGGAUAUAUCACUUAAUAAGAAUUGUUCUCCUCUCAUUACUCUAAAAGUUUGGUAUAGUCUUCAUUAGCCAAAACCUCUUGGAUCCCAAACUACAAUAACCCAAAGUUUGCUCCAAAUGCUGAAAUUCAGACUCUGAAUUUCACUAAGUCUGAAAUCUAUAUUUUCUAACAGCUCUUCUUUAGACCAGUUCUUCUCCAAAUUCCAUAUAGAUUUAAGUCUAGGUGACUUAAUCAAAGUCACACUCCUCACAUAGCUCUAUAACUUUGUUACAAUGACCACCUUCAAAAUGUUUAUAGAUCAGAAGUUAUAAAGGACCAAAGUUGACUAGUUGAUAUGAUUUUCAGAAAUCCUAAUCUGAACCCAAACUGAACUUUUGUGAAUCACUCCAAAUUUAUCUAUAAAACAUGGAAACCUCCAAAUAAGAAAUUAUUCACUUUUCCAAGCUCCACAACUUUGAUAUAUGGACUUUUGCCAAAUUAUUUCUAGAUUUUGAAUUCCACUUUUGGGCUAGUUUUAGGGUUUCAAAUGAGUUUCAUUUGUGUUUCAGCUUCUUCCAUGGAUUCAUCUCUUUAAUCCAUCCAUCAAAACAAAGUUACUCUCUAGUCUAAGAUCCAACUUUAGUAUAUGCAGCUCAUUCCCAACCAGUCCUCGGUUUAGGAAUUAUUUUGUUUAUCCAUAAUUCCAAGCAAGUUUUUCAACCUAAGUCCUAUACUCAACACACAACAUCACACUUUUGAAUCGAAAAUUUUAACCUAGUAAAUGCAUUCUAGGUGUAACAAGCAAGUUAAUGCAAAUGCUUAUGAUGACAUGUCAGAGUUUUAGUUCACGUAACACCAGGGGUGUUACAGCCUUCCCCCCUAAGAAGAAAUCUCGUCCCGAGAUUUAAAAGUCUAGGCUUAGUAAUGGAAAAGGAAAUGCGUCACCGGUUUAUUUCCUAGUUACUCCUACAAGGCAGGGGGUGUGCCCCCAUUGGUUUAUACCAAAGACAACUUAUACAAAUCUAGGGUUUACAAGACACUAGGAACUCAGGAAUAUACUUUUCCAAAUACUUCUCUGACUACUACAUGGCUUUAUCUUCCGGGUGUUAGUUCUACUGUAUCUCGUAAAACUCGAUAACUUUUCUUCGAGUGACCUGAUCCUUUUGAUCUAACAGAUUUAUGGGAUAUUCCGAGGAGGUUAAACCUGGUUUAUGGUUAACAUAUAAAAUCUCAAUAACAUAUUUGGGGACUCGAAGACACUUCUUCCAUUGGGACACGUGGAACACGUCGUGCACUGUUGAAGGUCCUUUUGUAACUGUACCUUAUAAGCUAUAGGUCCACCAAAAUCUCUGUUUCAAACCUUGGUACCUAUUGCUACCUUUAGGGUGAAUGGAGUCCCGGACUGCAACCCAAUCGCAAUUCCACAUCCCUUUCUGGAGGCAACUAGUCAAAUCUUUGAGGAACACAUCCGAGAACUCCCUCACAUCAGGUAUAUCCUUUACUUCUUUUACUUAAACUACUGAUGUAGACGAAUCUUAUUAUUUCCUAGAAUAGCCUCACUGACCAUCUCCUUAUAUCCUUCAACCAAACUAAUUGCCAUCAGGAGCUAAAGUUUCACAUUAAGAUCACGUAGGAUGUAUUACUUUUUUUUCACUGGCAUCCACAUAAUCCAAAACAUACUGGGAUAGGCGAGUAAACCUCUCAAAUAGUCCAUUACACUCGCUUCUUCACCUUGCUUUAGAUCCAAAAACACUUUGAACUUUAUUUAUAUAGGGGCUUAUGGAACAUGACGUGCCCGAAAUACCUCACAGAAUUCAACCCGAGAACUUAAAGUCCUUCUGGCUGCAGCGCAAGGUAUUCUGCCCACCAACUAAACGUGGCUUCCAGUCUUCAAAAACAAGGAAAGGUAGCAUAGAAAGGUAAAGACAAACAACAUAAACAGGGUAGACGAAACACGUACUAAAGCUACUACAUAGGGUGUUUAACUUAAAGUUAUAUGUCAUGAUGCAUGCUCGUCCUAUUCGUCCUCACAAUCUUGCUAGCAUAUAGUGGCUUGCACGCUCUAUGGCGGUGGCAUACCUACUCACUCCGGAGUUAACUAGUCGUAAUUUCCUAGAGUUUAGUCAGUGUACCUGCAGAAAAUUCCAUUACAGCCCAAACCCCAUGAUGCAAUUCACACAUUUGGUCACAGUUUAUACUCCAUAUAUUUCUAUAUGGAGGCCAGCUCCUCAUUAAGCGCCGAGCCACGCAUAGGCGCCGCUGCCACACUUUUAACCACAGGGCAGCCCAUUGUGGUAACUUACCUUCUUACCUGCGCGUAGGUGCGUCGUUGCGAGUACAUUACACUUCUCAGUAUUCUCAUGUCUAUAUAGCCAUACACAUCCAUGGGGUACUGAAUCCCGGAAAAGUAAUUACUCCACAUCGCAGCCUUCAUAUAUACAUAUGUGGAACAUGUAUAUAAUCAAGCGCCACAAUUAAGCACUCCCCUAGACCGACGUUUGUUCGGUCAUGCUCUCACAACUCACCUUGACCUGAGCGUCGAUCCAUUCAAAACUGAAUGGCACUAAAAAUAACAUUACACAUGUAUGCAUUACCCUUCCCAGGUUGUGGGUUAGUGGUUAGCAUCUUAAACUAGGCCACCUUAUAGUCCUUAGUUUUAACCACAUAUUAUUUGCACUUCUACUAUCAGGCCUUGAUUAUAGAUUCUUAAGUUUAUAAAAAUCAUUUUGAAGUUUAUUAAAGGAUUACUUUAAUAUCCAUGCUAAUGGGGGAUCGCUCCGAUACCACGCUGUGACAGCCCUCCCAAGUUAUCAGGCCCACAUGCACCAACCCUUGCCAUUAACGGCCUCAUAUGGUCGUGCACGUGUACCGGGUAACUUAACAAGGCUAUCGAGUUCAUCGACUCGAACUCAUCAUCCCAAGGAUCUCCCACAUAACAGGUAUAUUACAGUAAUCACAUUUGAUACACACACAUUGGAGAUAGAGCGGAAGACUUUUACAAAGUACACUUUACAUUCCAGAACUCAAGUUUUACAUGGUAGAAUGAGAUGUAUUUAUUACAAGUCCUGAUAGUACUCGAAGUGCAUAACUUAUUACAAUAAUUGGAAGGGUGAAUCCUUUUCAUAAGAGAUAUAUAAAAACCUUCUAAGCUUCAAGUCCUCCACAUGAAGUAACUAACCCAAAGAUAAGGGAAUAAAACUUCUCCUACAAAAACAACAAGGGAUAAAACCCUGAGUACGCAAUUACUCAGCAAGACUUACCCGACUAAAGAAAAGACUCUCAAGGGUAUGUUGGCUUUUGGGAAUCAAGGUAAAGCUCAUCAAAGUUCAAGGACUCAUUUUGCAGAAAAGCUUACUAGAAGUGGGUCCUUAAGCCAAGUUUUAUUUCACAAGUUAGUUUAUUACCUGAAUCUUCUAGCCUGAAUCUAGCAUUUUCCUAAUCUAGAUCAUUCACUUGACCUACACUAGGUUGCUUUUAAAAUCCAAAUUUUGUUUUGCUUGUUAUCUACGAUGAAGGGCAGCGAUCCAGUCUUCAUAUCCGAGAAGUAACGGCGAUCCGAAUCGAUUAAUACCCAGCUGGGGAUCUCCAACCACACGACAUAUGUAGCAUUUAACCCUUGCAUAUGUCAACCAUUCCCACGGAUCCUCCACUACAUGAACUGGUCCACGCUACCCGGGAGCACAUUACCCUAACAUUCAGCUUCUUGCCAGGAGGGUAACUGCUACUCCCACCAUCUCCCACGCCCAGUGCGCGGUUGUCUUUUCACGUAUGGAAUAGCCGGGUUCAGGCUUACCCAUGACGAGGUAUGUGGCCAGUUAAAAGGUCCUAGAUCAUCAGGCCAACAAUCGGUACGGUCCUUAAUCGACACAGACGGGCGACCUUUCCUGCUCAUCGUCUGGUCCCAUUUUAAACUAUUUCAAAAUUUUGGCGCCUGACAGAGGGGCCAUGCCUGGAUAAUGAAUUUAUCAACGUCUUGAUGCCUUCAUUAUCCCAAGCCCAUUUUCUUGUUUGUAAAAACAUGAGUCAUAGAUCAAAAACAUUUUUCUUAGUCUAUCAGCAUGACUAAGCAUCUCUAGCUUUUAUAAAACAGGUGACAAGGUAUGGUAAUCAAUCUUUCAAGGAUGGUAAUGCAUCAAGUGUUUAAUCAAUCAACUCCUAUUACCUAAUGCAACAUAUAAGUGAUAAAAUUUUGUAAACACAAGGGAGGUGGCAAAUGCACCGGGGCUUGCCUUAUUGUAGUGAAGAGAUUCUAGAUCUUCUACCCAAUAACCAGUUAGAUAGCUCCAUCCACUUGAUGAACAAGCACUGGAACAAACUCCUCUUCCACAACCACUUCAUCUUUAAUUUACACUCCUUCUGCUGGGAGCUCUACAUGAAAUGAUAUGAACAUGAAUGCUUAUGCUUCUUGCAAAUAAAAUACUAUAAAACAUCACAAGACUAUACUUCCUCUCAAAGGUGUAACCAAACACAAAACAAAGGAUUUACUAGCACAAAGACUCUAAAUACUCUAAUAACAUAACCAAACUCUUCAACCAUGCAAGGGAACCAUGUCUCUAUAUCCAAGUAUUCCACCAAUACCUUAAGCAAGGAUCUAACUCUCUUACAUUGAACCCUACAAGCUAUGGCUAUCAAGAGACUAGAACACACAAAGCCCCAAAGUAAGGAGAAAAACACUGGACCAAAGUGACAGUAACUGAAGCUGGUCUGCAUUGCACAUGUCUGACAGAGCUAGUUAGGACACCAUAAACUUCCAAACUUAUAUAGUACCAAGCCAAGCUUCCACAAGUAAACUUGCUUACUAAUACUUGGUCUCCAAUUUUGCUACACAAAAUAUAUCUCCUAACUGCACAGAACAACCCCAAGGAAACUCCAAUGUUGAGCCAACAUACUGAAAUGUCCAAUUUCAGAGGUCUGGAAUAGCCUAACAUCAACCUGGCAGCCUAACUUUGAGCAAGAUUUACACCUAGUUCUAUAUAGCUCUAAGGUCAAAUAGCUUAAUCAAGUUUGUGCUCCUAGAACAGAUAUACAAGGUUGCUAUAAUGAUCAACAACUAAAGACUCAUGGAUUCAAUGCUAUAAUGCUUCAAGUUGACACCAUUCAUUGCAACUAGUUUCAGUUAACUGAAACAAACACCCAUUAAGUCCGUCGGAAGGAUUUGUAACCUCAUUUACUCUAAUUUUCACAUAAGAACAAAUCCAACACUUUAUAUGAAACUUGUUCUCCUUCAAAUGGUCUUUGACUGUGCUAUAAGAUUCUUAGUCCAAAACCUUGUGGACUGAUCACAAAGUUGCUCCAAACUGGGCACUAAAUACUAAAAUUUCAGUUGGAGUUAACUGAAUUCAGUUUAGAGAAAAAUAAGCCUGACAGCACACCUUUAGGCACUAAUUAUUCCUAGCUCUAAGUAGUGUCAAGGGCAUAAUCCUCACCAAACUUUACUACCCUAACACUGGUCUUCAAGUUUUCUAUAGCAACUAUGGUCUAAAACUACUCAGAUUGGUCACAAACACUUCCAAACUGAGCACCCAACAUUGCAAUUUCAGGUUUCAGUUCUGAAUAAAAAUUGAGUCCAACAAACCUGACAGUCCAAGUUCUCGGUGGGUACAUGAAACUGCUUGGGAAAGACGUACGUUGGCUGGUCGACGAUGAAACUAAACACGGCGAUGAAUUGUGGUGGCACGACUACGUUCUGGCCACUGUGAGGUGAAGGGGCUGGUGGCCGAGGUCACUACACAGGAGGACGAUGUCGAGCAUCUGUCUUGAACAAAGCAACUGGGCGACAGGAGUGGCUGGAGAAGUUAACACAUGUAUAGAAGAAUGGUGAGGCACAGUGAGCAGGUCAUGGAAGCAACGAGAGCACCACAAGUUUCAGUUCUAGGCUUCAACUGUCAUGGCAAGCAAUGGGCUAUUUGUGGCUUUACUAGGACUUAUCGCAGGGGAAAACAAAACUAAUAUACUCCACCUCUGAC